rnacentral:rRNA from 1 species
GAUGAACGCUGGCGGCGUGCCUAAUACAUGCAAGUCGAGCGAACAGAUGAGGAGCUUGCUCCUCUGACGUUAGCGGCGGACGGGUGAGUAACACGUGGAUAACCUACCUAUAAGACUGGGAUAACUUCGGGAAACCGGAGCUAAUACCGGAUAAUAUAUUGAACCGCAUGGUUCAAUAGUGAAAGACGGUUUUGCUGUCACUUAUAGAUGGAUCCGCGCCGCAUUAGCUAGUUGGUAAGGUAACGGCUUACCAAGGCAACGAUGCGUAGCCGACCUGGGAGGGUGAUCGGCCACACUGGAACUGAGACACGGUCCAGACUCCUACGGGAGGCAGCAGUAGGGAAUCUUCCGCAAUGGGCGAAAGCCUGACGGAGCAACGCCGCGUGAGUGAUGAAGGUCUUCGGAUCGUAAAACUCUGCUAUUAGGGAAGAACAAAUGUGUAAGUAACUAUGCACGUCUUGACGGUACCGAAUCAGAAAGCCACGGCUAACUACGUG